UACGAAGGGUGCAAGCGUUGUUCGGAUUUAUUGGGCGUAAAGCGCGCGCAGGCGGAUGACUAAGUCAGAUGUGAAAUCUCGGGGCUUAACCCCGAAACUGCGUCUGAAACUAUUUGUCUUGAAUGUUGGAGAGGGAAGGGGAAUUUCGCAUGUAGGGGUAAAAUCCGUAGAUAUGCGAAGGAACACCAGAGGCGAGAGCGCCUUCCUGGACAACUAUUGACGCUGAGGCGCGAAAGCGUGGGGAGCAAACAGGAUUAGAUACCCUGGUAGUCCACGCUGUAAACUAUGGGCACUAGAUGUGGGAGGAUUGACCCCUUCUGCGUCGCAGCUAACGCGUUAAGUGCCCCGCCUGGGGAGUACGGUCGCAAGAUUAAA
rnacentral:rRNA from 1 species